rnacentral:piRNA from 1 species
UGAAUGAUGUAUGCAUAAAAA